UCCAGCAGCGCAAUGUGAUCCACCGGCAAGGAGGGAUGCCAAUAAGGUGUCCGAUAAGAUAAGUCUUAUAAAAUAUAUAGAUUUAUGAUAAUUAAAACUGAGCUAGCAGAUGAGAAUCCUAGUCAUUGGCCAAGCAGCAUUUGAACCUAAUACAAGUCCCUCUGUGUAUUAAUUUGGGCCCUAACUCUGGUGGGCGGCUGGUGUAAAGCGCACACGUGCUGGUGGGGCUCAGCGGCUUUUGGUGGAAAGAUUUAUCGUAAUAUAAGGCCAGUGGAGAGAGGAGUACAGUCUAGGCAGUCUGAGGAGCAGUGCAGUCUGGAUAUGCAAUCAGAGGACAUGAUCGCCCCUUCGGUCUGAGCAUCCAUUGAGAGCCUUCAUCCAGCAGCUGGAAGUAGAAGCAGACACCCACAGCUAAACACUGAACUGAACUGGAAUCCAGUUGCAGAGAAGGAGGAGUGACGAGCAAAGGGGUCCAGACCAGGCUGGUGAAACCCACAGAAACAGCUGACCUGAACAAGAGGGAGCUCUUGGUCCCCAGACUGAUAGCUGGGAAACCAGCAUGGGACUGAUCCAGACUCCAUGAAUUUUUACAUAUGGCCUCUAACCCAUCUGGAAAUCAUUUUGUGGCCCAUUACAGUCUCACUCCUAGCUGGUGUUAUCACAGUUCAGGUUUCAUAGGAUGUGUUGAUUCUGAUACAGAAGGCAUUUAUUCCUCACAGUUGUGGAGACUGGAAGCUCAGAAGCAAGUGCCAAAUGGCUCUGCCUCAGAGCAUGGAUGACUCGGAGGCAAUUUGUAUCACCAUGAGCUCACACCAAUAUGAGUGACAGUUCAUAAAAGCUUUGAGCCCUGGAGCUCUUUACUCAACUUGCAGGAAGCUCUUCAGGUUGGAGAGCCUUCUCUCCUCAGCAGCUGGCCUGGCUCAUUUCCUUCAAACCUGCAGAUUUCUUAGACAUGCACAUCAUCUGACUGGACUGUUGCAUGCCAAGCAGCCCAGACACCUGCUCAAGCUCAGUCAGCAUGUCUUCCAAAGCCCCAAGGCUUCCUUCAGCUGCCUGCUCCCUUCAAACGUGGCAGAGUUUCUCUUUGAAGCCGACUUUCUCACACUCUACCCUGCCACCAAGGUUACCCUCUCAUGUUCAGGAGACAAUUCACUGCCAUUGGCUGAGCUCUGUAAUAAUGGAACACUGUAGCACCUCUUUCUUCUUCCUCUACAAACGUCUAGAAGGUCAGUUCUGCUCUCAGUCUAGAUCUCAGAGGUAUCCCCCUACACACACAGACACACAUGCACACAUACACACACACACACACACACACACACACACACACACACACACACAGUCACACAUGCACACACAUACACACAUGCACACACACAUAGACACACAUGCACACACAAUACACACACAUGCACACACAUAUACACACAUACAUACGGACAUACACACAU
rnacentral:lncRNA from 1 species